AACGAACGCUGGCGGCAUGCCUAACACAUGCAAGUCGAACGAGACCUUCGGGUCUAGUGGCGCACGGGUGCGUCACGCGUCGGAACCUGCCGUUAGGUUCGGGAUAACACCUCGACAGGGGUGCUAAUACCGGAUAAUGUAUUCUGAUCAAAGAUACAUCGCCUGUGUUUGAGCACGCGUUGGUUUGGCUAGUUGGUAGGGUAAAAGCCUACGAAGGCGACGAUCCCUAGCUGGUCUGAGAGGAUGCUCAGCCACACUGGGACUGAGACACGGCCCAGACUCCUACGGGAGGCAGCAGUGGGGAAUAUUGGACAAUGGGCGAAAGCCUGAUCCAGCAAUGCCGCGUGAGUGAUGAAGGCCUUAGAGUUGUAAAGCUCUUUUACCCGGGAUGAUAAUGACAGUACCGGGAGAAUAAGCUCCGGCUAACUCCGUG
rnacentral:rRNA from 1 species